GGGGAAUUUUGGACAAUGGGGGCAACCCUGAUCCAGCCAUGCCGCGUGAGUGAAGAAGGUCUUCGGGUUGUAAAGCUCUUUCGGCCGGGAAGAAAUCGGCGACUCUAACAUAGUCGCUGGAUGACGGUACCGGACUAAGAAGCACCGGCUAACUACGUGCCAGCAGCCGCGGUAAUACGUAGGGUGCGAGCAUUAAUCGGAAUUACUGGGCGUAAAGCGUGCGCAGGCGGUUUUGUAAGACAGAUGUGAAAUCCCCGGGCUUAACCUGGGAACUGCGUUUGUGACUGCAAGGCUAGAGUACGGCAGAGGGGGGUGGAAUUCCACGUGUAGCAGUGAAAUGCGUAGAGAUGUGGAGGAACACCGAUGGCGAAGGCAGCCCCCUGGGCCUGUACUGACGCUCAUGCACGAAAGCGUGGGGAGCAAACA
rnacentral:rRNA from 1 species